GUGCUUGCUUUGGCAAUAUAUAUACUAAAACUAGAAUGAAACAAAGAAGAUUAAAAUGGCUUCUACACAAAGUUGACAUCCAAAUUUGUGAAGCAUUCCAUAUUUUU